CGGGGCAUCAUACGGCUACCUGCGCCUGUAUCUUCUACAAGUUCCCCAGGAAUUUGGCACCAGGAAUCCUGAAACGAUCUGCAGAAGGUCUUGUGCCCCCAGUCAGGGGUCAAAUCGUCUUACAUCUCAGCUUUUCAAAGCCAGUUCCAAGCCCUGCCUGGAGAAUUCGUUUUAACAGUCGGAUGAGAUCGAAAAUGAAAGAGAUGUUUCAAUACCUGUCCUGAGCUGUCUCCGCUUCCCUUUGUUCAGAUUAUUAAGGCCAAAGGUGCCUCGAAUUGAAACCGUUACAUUUCAGGUAAGCGUCUCCUGGAUAUUGAAAUAAAUUUACCUGUAAAAAUAA